rnacentral:rRNA from 1 species
GACGAACGCUGGCGGCGUGCUUAACACAUGCAAGUCGAACGGAAAGGCCCUGCUUUUGUGGGGUGCUCGAGUGGCGAACGGGUGAGUAACACGUGAGUAACCUGCCCUUGACUUUGGGAUAACUUCAGGAAACUGGGGCUCAUACCGGGUAGGAGCUCCUGCUGCAUGGUGUGGGUUGGAGAGUUUCGGCGGUUGGGGAUGGACUCGCGGCUUAUCAGCUUGUUGGGGGGGUAGUGGCUUACCAAGGCUUUGACGGGUAGCCGGCCUGAGAGGGUGACCGGCCACCUUGGGACUGCGAUACGGCCCAGACUCCUACGGGAGGCAGCAGUGGGGAAUAUUGCACAAUGGGCGGAAGCCUGAUGCAGCAACGCCGCGUGCGGGAUGACGGCCUUCGGGUUGUAAACCGCUUUCGCCUGUGACGAAGCGUGAGUGACGGUAAUGGGUAAAGAAGCACCGGCUAACUACGUG